rnacentral:rRNA from 1 species
UGGGGAAUAUUGCACAAUGGGCGCAAGCCUGAUGCAGCCAUGCCGCGUGUAUGAAGAAGGCCUUCGGGUUGUAAAGUACUUUCAGCGGGGAGGAAGGGAGUAAAGUUAAUACCUUUGCUCAUUGACGUUACCCGCAGAAGAAGCACCGGCUAACUCCGUGCCAGCAGCCGCGGUAAUACGGAGGGUGCAAGCGUUAAUCGGAAUUACUGGGCGUAAAGCGCACGCAGGCGGUUUGUUAAGUCAGAUGUGAAAUUCCCGGGCUCAACCUGGGAACUGCAUCUGAUACUGGCAAGCUUGAGUCUCGUAGAGGGGGGUAGAAUUCCAGGUGUAGCGGUGAAAUGCGUAGAGAUCUGGAGGAAUACCGGUGGCGAAGGCGGCCCCCUGGACGAAGACUGACGCUCAGGUGCGAAAGCGUGGGGAGCAAACA